rnacentral:rRNA from 1 species
UGACCUCAAAUCGGGUGAGACUACCCGCUGAAUUA